rnacentral:rRNA from 1 species
AAAACGACUCUCGGCAACGGAUAUCUCGGCUCUCGCAUCGAUG